rnacentral:rRNA from 1 species
AUUGAACGCUGGCGGCAGGCCUAACACAUGCAAGUCGAACGAGUGGCGGACGGGUGAGUAAUGUCUGGGAAACUGCCCGAUGGAGGGGGAUAACUACUGGAAACGGUAGCUAAUACCGCAUACCAUCGGAUGUGCCCAGAUGGGAUUCGCUAGUAGGUGGGGUAACGGCUAACCUGGGCGACGAUCCCUAGCUGGUCUGAGAGGAUGACCCGCAACACUGGAACUGAAGCACGGUCCAGACUACGACGGGAGGCGGCAGGGGGGAAUAUUGCACAAAGGGCGUAAGCCUGAUGCAGCCGUGCCGGUUGUAUUAAGAAGGCCGUGGGUGUGUAAAGUACUUUCAUCGAGGAGUGGUUACUCGCAGAAGAAGCACCGGCUAACUCCGUGCCAGCAGCCGCGGUAAUAC